rnacentral:rRNA from 1 species
UGAGGAACAUGACCUUCGGCGGGGGAUAGCCGGCCCAACGGCCGGGUAAUACCGCGUACGACCACAUGGGGACAUCCCUGAGUGGUGAAAGCAGCAAUGCGCCGAUGGAGUGCCUCGCGGCCUAUCUGCUAGUUGGUGAGGUAACGGCUCACCAAGGCGACGACGGGUANCUGGUCUGAGAGGAUGGCCAGCCACAUUGGGACUGAGACACGGCCCAGACCUCGUACCGGGGAGG